AUAUGUGUAAUGGUGUAGGUGACUUCCCUCUGUGAAGUGUGUAUAUGUGUAAUGGUGUAGGUGACUUCCCUCUGUGAGGUGUGUAUAUGUGUGAUGUAUAAUGGUGUAGGUCACUUCCCUCUGUGAGGUGUGUAUAUGUAUAAUGGUGUAGGUCAUUUCCCUCUGUGAGGUGUGUAUAUGUGGGAUGUGUAAUGGUGUAGGUGACUUCCCUCUGUGAGGUGUGUAUAUGUGUAAUGGUGUAGGUGACUUCCCUCUGUGAGGUGUGUAUAUGUGGGAUGUGUAAUGGUGAAGGUGACUUCCCUCUGUGAGGUGUGUAUAUGUGUGAUGUGUAAUGGUGUAGGUGACUUCCCUCUGUGAGGUGUGUAUAUGUGUAAUGGUGUAGGUGACUUCCCUCUGUGGUGUGUAUAUGUGUGAUGUUUAAUGGUGUGGGUCACUUGUCUCUGUGAGGUGUGUAUAUAUGUGAUGUGUAAAGGCGUAGGUCACUUGUCUCCUGUAGUAUGUGAGGUAUAUUAUAGGGUAGGUUGCUUGUCUCUGUGUAGUAUGUGAGGUGUAUUAUAGUGUAGGUUGCUCGUCUCUGUGUGGUAUGUGAGUUGUAUAAUAGUGUAGGUUGUUGGUCUCUGUGUGGUAUGUGAGGUGUAUAAUAGUGUAGGUCACUUGUCUCCUGUAGUAUGUGAGGUGUAUUAUAGUGUAGGUUGCUCAUCUCUGUGUGGUAUGUGAGGUGUAUAAUAUGUAGGUUGCUCGUCUCUGUGUGGUAUGUGAGGUGUAUAAUAGUGAAGGUUGCUCGUCUCUGUGUGGUAUGUGAGGUGUAUUAUAGUGUAGGUUGCUCAUCUCUGUGUGGUAUGUGAGGUGUAUAAUAGUGUAGGUUGCUGGUCUCUGUGUGAUAUGUGAGGUGUAUAAUAGUGUAGCUGGUCUCUGUGUGGUAUGUGAGGUGUAUAAUAGUGUAGGUUGCUCGUCUCUGUGUGGUAUGUGAGUUGUAUAAUAGUGUAGGUUGCUCGUCUCUGUGUGGUAUGUGAGUUGUAUAAUAGUGAAGGUUGCUCGUCUCUGUGUGGUAUGCGAGGUGUAUAAUAGUGUAGGUUGCUGGUCUCUGUGUGGUAUGUGAGUUGUAUAAUAGUGAAGAUUGCUGGUCUCUGUGUGGUAUGUGAGGUGUAUUAUAGUAUAUGUCGCUCGUCUCUGUGUGGUAUGUGAGGAGUAUUAUAGUAUAUGUCGCUCGUCUCUGUGUGGUAUGUGAGGUGUAUAAUAGUGUAGGUUGCUCGUCUCUGUGUGGUAUGUGAGGUGUAUUAUAGGGUAGGUUGCUGGUCUCUGUGUGAUAUGUGAGGUGUAUAAUAGUGUAGGUUGCUCAUCUCUGUGUGAUAUGCGAGGUGUAUAAUAGUGUAGGUCGCUCGUCUCUGUGAUAUGCAAGGUGUAUUAUAGUGUAUGUCGCUCUUCUCUGUGUGGUAUGCGAGGUGUAUUAUAGGGUAGGUUGCUCGUCUCUGUGUGGUAUGUGAGUUGUAUAAUAGUGUAGGUUGCUCGUCUCUGUGUGAUAUGCAAGGUGUAUUAUAGUGUAUGUCGCUCAUCUCCGUGUGGUAUGUGAGUUGUAUAAUAGUGUAUGUCGCUCGUCUCUGUGUGAUAUGCAAGGUGUAUUAUAGUGUAUGUCGCUCAUCUCCGUGUGGUAUGUGAGUUGUAUAAUAGUGUAUGUCGCUCGUCUCUGUGUGAUAUGCAAGGUGUAUUAUAGUGUAUGUCGCUCAUCUCCGUGUUGUAUGUGAGUUGUAUAAUAGUGUAGGUUGCUCGUCUCUGUGUGAUAUGCGAGGUGUAUAAUAGUGUAGGUCACUCGUCUCUGUGUGGUAUGUGAGGUGUAUAAUAGUGUAGGCUGCUUAUCUCUGUGUGGUAUGUGAGUUGUAUAAUAGUGUAGGUUGCUCGUCUCUGUGUGAUAUGCAAGGUGUAUUAUAGUGUAUGUCGCUCAUCUCCGUGUGGUAUGUGAGUUGUAUAAUAGUGUAGGUUGCUCGUCUCUGUGUGAUAUGCGAGGUGUAUAAUAGUGAAGGUUGCUCGUCUCUGUGAGGUAUGUGAGGUGUAUAAUAGUGUAGGUCGCUUGUCUCCUGUAGUAUGAGGUGUAUAAUAGUGUAGGUCGCUUGUCUCCGUGUGGUAUGUGAGGUGUAUAAUAGUGUAGGUCGAUCGUCUCCUGUAGUAUGAGGUGUAUAAUAGUGUAGGUUGCUCGUCUCUGUGUGGUGUAUGUGAGGUGUAUAAUAGUGAAGGUUGCUCGUCUCUAUGUGGUAUGUGAGUUGUAAUAAUAGUGUAGGUUGCUGGUCUCUGUGUGGUAUGUGAGUUGUAUAAUAGUGUAGGUUGCACGUCUCUAUGUGGUAUGUGAGUUGUAUAAUAGUGUAGGUUGCUCGUCUCUGUGUGCUAUGUGAGUUGUAUAAUAGUGAAGGUUGCUGGUCUCUGUGUGGUAUGUGUGGUGUAUUAUAGUAUAUGUAGCUCGUCUCUGUGUGGUAUGUGAGGUGUAUAAUAGUGUAGGUUGCUCGUCUCUGUGUGGUAUGUGAGGUGUAUUAUAGUAAAGGUUGCUCGUCUCUGUGUGGUAUGUGAGGUGUAUAAUAGUGUAGGUUGCUCGUCUCUGUGUAGUAUGCGAGGUGUAUUAUAGUAAAGGUUGCUCGUCUCUGUGUGGUAUGUGAGGUGUAUAAUAGUGUAGGUUGCUGGUCUCUGUGUAGUAUGCGAGGUGUAUAAUAGUGUAGGUUGCUCGUCUCUGUGUGGUAUGUGAGUUGUAUAAUAGUGUAGGUUGCUGGUCUCUGUGUGAUAUGUGAGGUGUAUAAUAGUGUAGGUUGCUGGUCUCUGUGUGGUAUGUGAGGUGUAUAAUAGUGUAGCUGGUCUCUGUGUAGUAUGUGAGGUGUAUAAUAGUGUAGGUUGCUGGUCUCUGUGUGGUAUGUGAGUUGUAUAAUAGUGUAGGUUGCUGGUCUCUGUGUGGUAUGUGAGUUGUAUAAUAGUGUAGGUUGCUGGUCUCUGUGUGAUAUGUGAGGUGUAUAAUAGUGUAGGUUGCUGGUCUCUGUGUGGUAUGUGAGGUGUAUAAUAGUGUAGGUUGCUGGUCUCUGUGUGGUAUGUGAGGUGUAUAAUAGUGUAGGUUGCUGGUCUCUGUGUGGUAUGUGAGGUGUAUAAUAGUGUAAGUUGCUGGUCUCUGUGUGGUAUGUGAGUUGUAUAAUAGUGUAGGUUGCUGGUCUCUGUGUGGUAUAUGAGACUUAUUAUCGUGAGGGUGUGUCUUCUUAGGGGCCAGAGGGAUGAGGCCCAAUAGGUGAAAUAGAUGUAAAUCCUUUAAAUUGCUAAAAGUCCUGAACAACGUACCACAUGGAUUUUGAUGUAAUUUGGUCAGAAGCAUCAUUGGCAAAGGAAAACUAAUGUUGUAUUAAAUGAGGGUGUGAUUUCUUUGAGGGCUUGAGGGUGUGGCCCAAUAGAGGAAACUGAGGUAAAUCCUUUAGUAAUCCCUACAAGUCCUGAACACCUGAAUGGAUUGUCCUUAUUCAACUUUUUACUUUUCUAAGAUUUAUUUUCGCAUUAAAGUCUUUUCAUGAAGCAAUUCACCAAUACUACAUAUCAAGUCUUAUCAAUGAGACAAAGAGAUACAGGAGGGAAUGAAGAGAGAGAGAGACACACACAGAUUAUUAUGGUGGGUUAUAUGUUAAUUUGCUCCAUACAAAAUAUUAAAAAUAAGGAAAGGUAUUUGUUUGGAGAAAUUACAUUAUCAUUAUAAUGACAUGCUUCUGACAAGUAACACUGUUGCUUUGUUUCAUUAAAUUCAUUCAGGUAUGUACACAAUGAAAAAUUAUUUCAACAGUUCUUGCUUUCUAUUGAUAAUGACUUACCUUCAAUAUAAGGUGUUAAUUCAAAAUCACAGUGAAUAUGUUAAAAAUUAACAAAUAAUGUAAUUAUAAUAUUACAAAAGUAAUAAAAACAGUAUAAUAUUGCCCUGUUUUCUGACAUGCUCUCUGUAUAGUAAACAAUUACACUCUAUAGCAUAGACAAGGUGUGAAAUGUAUACCCUUUAGGUGAUAGUUCUGAUGUCAGUGUGAAUUGUAGAUCUAGUCCGAUAUGUAUGUUGUACUGUAAAUAUUAAGUAGUAAAUGAUAAUCAUGGAUAUGUAGAAGAUAUUUCACUUCUGGAGAGAAAACAUUAAAAUAUUGAGCCACA